AUAACUCAAAUUUGUAUGAAUUUGGAACAUUCGCCUAGGUUUGCCGCUAGGGGCGUUGUUCCAACUGCAUCCAAAUUUCAGUUA
rfam:Bombyx mori DNA, contig: Bm_scaf13_contig10572, strain: p50T/Dazao, build 2, whole genome shotgun sequence.